AUUUGAUAUUUUGAUAAGAUAAGUAUUGUUCGUUGUGAUCUGUGAACAGCACAUUAAGAUUGAACCCGUAGUUAGAACAAGUCUUCAGAGUGUUUUCUUUCUGUAGAGAUCUGCGAGUUUGUCCUGGUUCCAAUCGUAACCCUGUAACAGGUUAUGACAAGGUCAAAAAUAUACUUUAGGAUAUUUUAAAGCGGCCAGACUUGAUCGCGAAACAUCAGUUGUACUAUACUGCUUAGUAUACAAACAAAUGUUUUGUUUACUUUCAGUGGAAUGUGUUUCAAAGAUAUAAGGAUUACAGAAUAUGAGUUCGUGGCGAAUGUUCAAUUCCUUUAGUACAGCAAUGAGCAACGAAAUAUGUCAAUAUACGACACAAAAAGAGAAAAAUAAAUGAGUUUUAGAUAAUUUAAACUUUGCUCAUGGUUGGGUUCAGCAAAAACAAAUAGAAAUGCUUUAUAUUAGACUUGUUUGUGUAAAAAUUGUUAUUUUUUAAUAAUGUACCUCCUUCUAAAUAUACUGAUUUACCGGUUCA